rnacentral:rRNA from 1 species
UACGAAGGGGGCUAGCGUUGCUCGGAUUGACUGGGCGUAAAGGGCGCGUAGGCGGUUUGCAUAGUCAGACGUGAAAUUCCUGGGCUUAACCUGGGGGCUGCGUUUGAUACAUGCAGGCUUGAGUUCGGAAGAGGGUCGUGGAAUUCCCAGUGUAGAGGUGAAAUUCGUAGAUAUUGGGAAGAACACCGGUGGCGAAGGCGGCGACCUGGUCCGAUACUGACGCUGAGGCGCGAAAGCGUGGGGGGCAAACAGG